UAACACCGGUUCUUGUACGAUCACCGAAGUUAAGCAACGUUGACUGUGUUCAGUAUCGAGGUGGGUGGCCGCUUGAGAAUACUAGGUGUUGUAA